rnacentral:lncRNA from 1 species
AAAAAAAAGAAGUCUUACACCAAGUUUGAAAGUGCAGAGAGAUUUUCAGAAGCAAGAGGUUUCGUUUCCUAUAAUAAUAUAUUUCUGUACUGCCUCCCGUCUCAAAUCUACAGCAGGAGAAAAGACAAAAAUGGAAAUAACACAAGAGAGCAGCAUCAUUCUCUCCCGUCCUACUGGGCCUCUCAAGCUUUGCUCCCAGCUGUGGCAACAAGGAACGGCAUGGCACAGUCCUUUCCUAAACCAGAGCACCAAGCUAGAGUCUCCUGCUCCCCGGAAUCAAAACUAACAUUUGGAGCCAAGGCACUUAAUUCAUCAUUCUUCCAAAGCAACGGUGCUCCGGGCUGGUAUUUUGAAACCUUAGUGACCUUUGCCAAAGAGCUUUGAAGAUUGCACUGUCUUGUCAAUCCAGCAGGAUAUCCAUAUAUACCUAACCCUUUCUGGAAGAUCUGAACAACAUUCUCCCUAAGAAUCUGCCUGUGGGGAUUCUUCCUUAGCGCCCCCGCGGUCCCGCGCGCCCACACGCGCGGCGAUCCUCACUCUCCUGUAAACUACGGCCCCGCGGGGACCCGAUCUGCUUUUGCAACCUCCUGCCGCACGGCCUUCACUCUCCAGAUAUUCGCUCCCGGAGUGAGCCCGCACCUUGCAGCGCUCCCUCUCCC